AGUUCAGGGUUUAACCCGCCUCUCGCGCUUCGUCGUCGGCAUUCUCGCGACCGUUGUGAGGACGAAGCGGUAUUGAAACUGGAUGGACGGAUGGAGUCAAAUGUACAGUUAUCGAUUUUCAAAUGAAAGGGAUACAUGUAAAAUGAUGCAGGAAAAAAUAAAUAGAGUAGGCAAGCAAAGGCAGAUACCCGACAAAUGCACUUGUCCCCCACUACUGGGCCUUACGUGUAUUUUUUUCAUGAAUUUAGCAAUGGGCGUGAAAACUUUUGCCACUACAAGAAGAUGGAGACCUCGAUACUGCAUUUAUACCCUAGAGGGAGACACAGCUCACCUUAAAAGUUUCAUUUGCCAGCCACGGUGGCUCUUCUAUGAAACAGACAACAACAAAAAACUCGGAAAGGCAUCUCGACGCUCCGAACUGCACAUGCGCGCAGUAGUUUGCUGGGCAGCUUGACCGCCUGUCGCCCACAACAGUCCGCAUCUUCAUCACAAUCCACAUCAUCAUCAUCACCAUCAUCAUCAUCAUCACCACCACCACCACCACCAUCAGCAGCAGCAGCAGCAGCAGCAGCAGUGUGAUGAAGAACUCCCUAAUCUAGACCAACAGACAGGAUGACCGAGGUGAUGAACUCUCUGGAGUCUGGCGCAGUGGGAGGCAGGGUUCUUGCUGGGCCUGGUGAAGGAGCUUCAGGGGAAAAUGUGCAGACCUCCAACUGAUGCUACCCUACAGAAAAACUACACCACCCCGGUAACAGUGACUUAUUAGUCAACGCGUAGACACGGGAGAUGUCCAAUUGAAGAGUACUUAGACGCAACGACGCACAGCGACACGCACAUUGCUUGUGGUGCCAACUCGACUGGCUGAGGUGUGGAGAUUUUCCGGUAAAUUUCCAGAAUUUUGGAAAGAUUCCCAAUUGGAAACAUUUCACGGUCAUUUUGGAGAAUUUACUGUGAAUUGGGAAUCAAAAAAAAAAGAAGAAAAACCCCUCAUAAAUGUCACCAUUUUGUUCUGUCCAAAAGUAGACGUCCGUGCAAUACGUAGAGAAGCUGCCGUGCCCAACAAGCGGGGGCGCAACAGUCUUUUUAAUGGCGUCAUUUUAUUUUCACUUCCCUUGAACGACGCCCCGUUUGAAGCCCGGCAUGAAAUCUGAUUUUGCCUCUCGUCACAAAGCAAAAUAUCAAACAAGUGACGCCUCGUCACUGGAAAAACUUGGACUUGUAAAUCAAGUCGAGUCAAUUUGGAUUGUUUUAGUCAGGAUUAUGCUGAAAUCCCCUCCCAAGAGCAAUUCUCAAUUUUGCAGAUUUAUUAGCUUGAUUGCCAUAAAUUCCUGCUAGAUGAUCCAAACGUGUUGUUUUUGUUUUUUUUUUUUAGUUCGGGUGUCCGGUGAAGGGGGCGGGAUCAAAGCGAUUGUCAGAACUUUGACCGUUUAGGCAAGACAGCAGCCGUGAAGAAAACAACAUUUUAGCAAGCUCAGUUUCAAACGAUCUCGUAUUCAAACCGUAUCGUGGGUUCGCUUUCCAACUUUUCCAAUUCUUGAACUUGAAUGAGACAUUGAGAGCACCUUCAGGGCUUGGGGCCACUGUGUUGGAAUCUAGAAAUUGUCAUAACCACAACCCGAAAACAUUUGCAUGUGACGUCGCUCGCCAAGAGGCCACAACUAAGUGAAAGGAUAGAAAAAUCCCAUUUAUAGAUGAAUUUUUUUUUUUUUUAGAAAGCUGACUCUUCACGACACUCCAAUCCUGCAGGUGGCAGCGAAUGACCUUUAGCUUGCUUGUUUACCGCUUUGUUCAACAGUGAAGGAGAUGCUAACUUCCUCAGCGCCACUUGAGCAUUAGCCCAUCAAUGGAUAGGCUGCCAAGGACGCCAUCUUGUGUGUCACCACCACCCUUAGACAAAUCGGAUAAAAAUGAACGGUAGAAAAAAAAAAAAACUUCACCUGUGUUCUUUGACCUCUGUGACCCACAAGAUGGCGUAAUUGGAAACCUGUCCGUUGACAUUUGUGUUGGACGUACUUUGGUAAGUUGCAUCUUUUGGAAUUUGAAUUGAAGUACAACAAACUUGUCAUUUUGUUUGACCUUUUUAAAAAAUAAACAAAAGUUUCUUGCGGCCCACACCUGCCACACACGACUGCAACGCAACCACCGUAGACGUACUUACUACAUGACGUGAAGUGCUAAUUGUUUGCUGGUUUUGAUAUGGAACAGCUGCCAUGUUAGAGAAUAUUUGCUAUGCGUAUUGCGUGUUUUGCUUAGAAAGAAAUGAAGUAAAAUGAUUGCGCAACAAAUGUUAAUGUUGUGACCUGAGACAAAAUGAGUCCAACAUAUGGUCUGCAAUGCUUUUUUUUUUUUUUUUUUUAAUGAAUUUAAUUUUUCCCCCACACAUGGACUGCAUGUGCAUUUUAUUUUGAAAAUCCAUAGUAAUCAAGAGCCAAAAUAUAUAUGAGCUACAUUAUAGUCAUUAUUUGAGUCAAAAAUAUUUCAUGAUGCAGAAUAAAAUCAUUGCUUUUGUUCAAGUGAAAUGUC